CUUGUGGCUGUAGUUUAGUGGUAAGAAUUCCACGUUGUGGCCGUGGAGACCUGGGCUCGAAUCCCAGCAGCCACAUCUUAUUUUUACUUUUUCUGAGCUGAUGCUGUGGUUAUUUUUCAAAUAAAAUAUGAAAAUAUGUUCUUUCAAACAAAAUGUGGCUGUAGUUUAGUGGUAAGAAUUCCACGUUGUGGCCGUGGAGACCUGGGCUCGAAUCCCAGCAGCCACAUCUUAUUUUUACUUUUUUCUGAGCUGAUGCUGUCGUUCUUCUUCAAAUAAAAGAGGAAAAUAUGUUUUGUCAAACAAAAUGUGGCUGUAGUUUAGUGGUAAGAAUUCCACGUUGUGGCUGUGGAGACCUGUGCUCGAAUCCCAGCAGCCACAU
rnacentral:tRNA from 1 species